rnacentral:rRNA from 1 species
CGGGGAGCACCACAACGGGUGGAGCUUGCGGUUUAAUUGGAUUCAACGCCGGAAAUCUUACCGGGACCGACAGCAAUAUGAAGGCCAGGCUGAAGACUUUGCCGGAUUAGCUGAGAGGUGGUGCAUGGCCGUCGUCAGUUCGUACUGUGAAGCAUCCUGUUAAGUCAGGCAACGAGCGAGACCCACGCCCACAGUUGCCAGCGUACUCUCUGGAGUGACGGGUACACUGUGGGACCGCCGCUGCUAAAGCGGAGGAAGGAAUGGGCAACGGUAGGUCAGUAUGCCCCGAAUAUCCCGGGCUACACGCGAGCUACAAUGGUUGGUACAAUGGGUAUCUACCCCGAAAGGGGACGGGAAUCUCCUAAAACCAAUCUUAGUUCGGAUUGAGGGCUGCAACUCGCCCUCAUGAAGCUGGAAUCCGUAGUAAUCGCGUUUCAGCAGAACGCGGUGAAUACGUCCCUGCUCCUU